rnacentral:rRNA from 1 species
CACGAACCGUACGAACGUUAUUCGGAAUUACUGGGCUUAAAGGGUUUGUAGGCGGCCAUGUAAGUCAGGUGUGAAAUCCCUCGGCUCAACCGAGGAACGGCGCUUGAUGCUGCAUGGCUUGAGGGAGACAGGGGUAAGCGGAACUGAUGGUGGAGCGGUGAAAUGCGUUGAUAUCAUCAGGAACACCGGUGGCGAAAGCGGCUUACUGGGUCUCUUCUGACGCUGAGGAACGAAAGCUAGGGUAGCGAACGGG